rnacentral:tRNA from 2 species
ACUCUUAUAGCUCAACGGUAGAGCGAUAUACUGUUAAUAUAUAGACAGGUGUUCGAAUCAUCUGAAGAGUU